AAAUUGAAGAGUUUGAUCAUGGCUCAGAUUGAACGCUGGCGGCAGGCCUAACACAUGCAAGUCGAACGGUAACAGGAAGCAGCUUGCUGCUUUGCUGACGAGUGGCGGACGGGUGAGUAAUGUCUGGGAAACUGCCUGAUGGAGGGGGAUAACUACUGGAAACGGUAGCUAAUACCGCAUAACGUCGCAAGACCAAAGAGGGGGACCUUAGGGCCUCUUGCCAUCGGAUGUGCCCAGAUGGGAUUAGCUAGUAGGUGGGGUAAAGGCUCACCUAGGCGACGAUCCCUAGCUGGUCUGAGAGGAUGACCAGCCACACUGGAACUGAGACACGGUCCAGACUCCUACGGGAGGCAGCAGUGGGGAAUAUUGCACAAUGGGCGCAAGCCUGAUGCAGCCAUGCCGCGUGUAUGAAGAAGGCCUUCGGGUUGUAAAGUACUUUCAGCGGGGAGGAAGGGAGUAAAGUUAAUACCUUUGCUCAUUGACGUUACCCGCAGAAGAAGCACCGGCUAACUCCGUGCCAGCAGCCGCGGUAAUACGGAGGGUGCAAGCGUUAAUCGGAAUUACUGGGCGUAAAGCGCACGCAGGCGGUUUGUUAAGUCAGAUGUGAAAUCCCCGGGCUCAACCUGGGAACUGCAUCUGAUACUGGCAAGCUUGAGUCUCGUAGAGGGGGGUAGAAUUCCAGGUGUAGCGGUGAAAUGCGUAGAGAUCUGGAGGAAUACCGGUGGCGAAGGCGGCCCCCUGGACGAAGACUGACGCUCAGGUGCGAAAGCGUGGGGAGCAAACAGGAUUAGAUACCCUGGUAGUCCACGCCGUAAACGAUGUCGACUUGGAGGUUGUGCCCUUGAGGCGUGGCUUCCGGAGCUAACGCGUUAAGUCGACCGCCUGGGGAGUACGGCCGCAAGGUUAAAACUCAAAUGAAUUGACGGGGGCCCGCACAAGCGGUGGAGCAUGUGGUUUAAUUCGAUGCAACGCGAAGAACCUUACCUGGUCUUGACAUCCACAGAACUUUCCAGAGAUGGAUUGGUGCCUUCGGGAACUGUGAGACAGGUGCUGCAUGGCUGUCGUCAGCUCGUGUUGUGAAAUGUUGGGUUAAGUCCCGCAACGAGCGCAACCCUUAUCCUUUGUUGCCAGCGGUCCGGCCGGGAACUCAAAGGAGACUGCCAGUGAUAAACUGGAGGAAGGUGGGGAUGACGUCAAGUCAUCAUGGCCCUUACGACCAGGGCUACACACGUGCUACAAUGGCGCAUACAAAGAGAAGCGACCUCGCGAGAGCAAGCGGACCUCAUAAAGUGCGUCGUAGUCCGGAUUGGAGUCUGCAACUCGACUCCAUGAAGUCGGAAUCGCUAGUAAUCGUGGAUCAGAAUGCCACGGUGAAUACGUUCCCGGGCCUUGUACACACCGCCCGUCACACCAUGGGAGUGGGUUGCAAAAGAAGUAGGUAGCUUAACCUUCGGGAGGGCGCUUACCACUUUGUGAUUCAUGACUGGGGUGAAGUCGUAACAAGGUAACCGUAGGGGAACCUGCGGUUGGAUCACCUCCUUACCUUAAAGAAGC
rnacentral:rRNA from 1 species